GGCUUAACACAUGCAAGGUCGAGGGGCAGCAUUGGAGUAGCAAUACUCAGAUGGCGACCGGCGCACGGGUGAGUAACACGUAUCCAACCUGCCGCUUACUCGGGGAUAGCCUUUCGAAAGAAAGAUUAAUACCCGAUGGUAUAAAGAGUUCGCAUGUUCUCUUUAUUAAAGAAUUUCGGUAAGCGAUGGGGAUGCGUUCCAUUAGAUAGUUGGCGGGGUAACGGCCCACCAAGUCUACGAUGGAUAGGGGUUCUGAGAGGAAGGUCCCCCACAUUGGAACUGAGACACGGUCCAAACUCCUACGGGAGGCAGCAGUGAGGAAUAUUGGUCAAUGGACGAGAGUCUGAACCAGCCAAAGUAGCGUGAAGGAUGACUGCCCUAUGGGUUGUAAACUUCUUUUAUAAGGGAAUAAAGUGAGGGACGUGUCCCUUUUUGUAUGUACCUUAUGAAUAAGGAUCGGCUAACUCCGUGCCAGCCGCCGC
rnacentral:rRNA from 1 species